rnacentral:rRNA from 1 species
UACGUAGGGGGCAAGCGUUGUCCGGAAUCAUUGGGCGUAAAGCGCGUGUAGGCGGUUCGAUAAGUCUGCUGUGAAAGCCCAGGGCUCAACCCUGGGAUGCCGGUGGAUACUGUCGGACUAGAGUGCGGAAGAGGCGAGUGGAAUUCCCGGUGUAGCGGUGAAAUGCGCAGAUAUCGGGAGGAACACCAAUUGCGAAGGCAGCUCGCUGGGACGUUACUGACGCUGAGACGCGAAAGCGUGGGGAGCAAACAGG